rnacentral:rRNA from 1 species
UCGAGAAUCUUCCGCAAUGGGCGAAAGCCUGACGGAGCGACACCGCGUGCAGGAUGAAGGCCUUCGGGUUGUAAACUGCUGUCACGCCAUAGGAAUUCCCUGUCGUUAAUAGCUGCAGGGUUGACCGAAGCGAAAGGAAGCACCGGCUAACUCCGUGCCAGCAGCCGCGGUAAGACGGAGGGUGCGAACGUUGUUCGGAAUCACUGGGCAUAAAGCGCACGUAGGCGGCUCGGUCAGUCCGAUGUGAAAGCCCCCGGCUCAACCGGGGAACUGCAUCGGAUACUGCCGGGCUCGAGGACGGUUGGGGUGAGUGGAACUCCUGGUGGAGCGGUGAAAUGCGUAGAUAUCAGGAGGAACACCAGUGGCGAAAGCGGCUCACUGGACCGUCUCUGACGCUGAGGUGCGAAAGCUAGGGUAGCGAACGGGAUUAGAUACCCCCGUAGUCC